CGAACGCUGGCGGCGUGCUUACCACAUGCAAGUCGACCGGAAAGGCCCUGCUUGCAGGGUACUCGAGUGGCGAACGGGUGAGUAACACGUGGGUGAUCUGCCCUGCACUUCGGGAUAAGCUUGGGAAACUGGGUCUAAUACCGGAUAGGAGCCAUCUUUAGUGUGGUGGUUGGAAAGUUUUUUCGGUGUAGGAUGAGCUCGCGGCCUAUCAGCUUGUUGGUGGGGUAAUGGCCUACCAAGGCGGCGACGGGUAGCCGGCCUGAGAGGGUGUACGGCCACAUUGGGACUGAGAUACGGCCCAGACUCCUACGGGAGGCAGCAGUGGGGAAUAUUGCACAAUGGGCGCAAGCCUGAUGCAGCGACGCCGCGUGGGGGAUGAAGGCCUUCGGGUUGUAAACUCCUUUCGCUAGGGACGAAGCUUUUUUGUGACGGUACCUAGAUAAGAAGCACCGGCUAACUACGUG
rnacentral:rRNA from 1 species